GUGCCAGCAGCCGCGGUAAGACGGGGGAGGCAAGCGUUGUCCGGAAUUAUUGGGCGUAAAGAGCGCGUAGGUGGUUUAUCAAGUCAUUUGUGAAAACUUUAGGCUUAACUUAAAGAUUGCAAGUGAUACUGGUAUACUUGAGCAUAGUAGAGGAAAACGGAAUUCCUGGUGUAGCGGUGAAAUGCGCAGAUAUCAGGAAGAACACCAGUGGCGAAGGCGGUUUUCUGGGCUAUUGCUGACACUGAGGCGCGAAAGCUAGGGGAGCGAACAGGAUUAGAUACCCUGGUAGUCUUAGCUGUAAACGAUGGACACUAGGUGUGGGAAGUUAUCGACGCUUUCCGUGCCGAAGCUAACGCAUUAAGUGUCCCGCCUGGGGAGUACGGUCGCAAGACUAAA
rnacentral:rRNA from 1 species